rnacentral:sRNA from 1 species
GGAAGGCAAUCUGGCUGCAACAUCUGUCACCACAUUGAUUACCAGGGUUGAUUCAGCUGAUCUGGCUGGCUAAGCGGGUGUCCCCUUCCUCCCUCACAGCUCCAUGUGCACCUCUCGGGAAGUUGCAUGCUCUGUUGAAGAGGACGACCUCCCCCAAUAGAGGAGGACCAGUCCAAACAAGGUCUCAAGGUCUAUUUAUUGUGUCUUGCUAUGCCGUGUUCGGCUGACAGCCCUGG